rnacentral:rRNA from 1 species
CACGUAGUUAGCCGUCCCUUUCUGGUAAGCUACCGUCACAGUGUGAACUUUCCACUCUCACACUCGUUCUUGACUUACAACAGAGCUUUACGAUCCGAAAACCUUCUUCACUCGCGCGGCGUUGCUCGGUCAGGGUUGCCCCCAUUGCCGAAGAUUCCCUACUGCUGCCUCCCGUAGGAGUCUGGGCCGUGUCUCAGUCCCAGUGCGGCCGAUCACCCUCUCAGGUCGGCUAUGUAUCGUCGCCUAGGGUGAGCCGUUUACCUCACCUACUAGCUAAAUACAACGCAGGUCCAUCUUGUAGUGGAGCAAUUGCCCCUUUAAAAUAAUGACAUGUCUCCACCCUAUUGUAUGUACGUAUUA